rnacentral:rRNA from 1 species
AUGUUUCCUGUUCUUGUGCUGCUUCUCCUGUCAUAUGUACUGCAACCAGCAUUGAGUUCAUCUGUUCAGGCACUAGAGCGGUUGUUCCAGCAUACAACUGACAGGGAUACCUUGCUGGCCUUCAAGUCAAGCCUAAGCAACCAACCGGAUGUCCUAGCUGCAUGGAACACUACUAGUGACUUCUGCCGGUGGCCAGGUGUCGUUUGUGGCGCUAAGCACACAGACAGGGUCACGGUGCUUAACCUCUCUUUGGAGGGACUUGUUGGCCCGAUAAUACCUUCCAUUGGGAAUCUCACCUUCUUGAAAAUUCUAGACCUCAGCUUGAACCAUUUGCAUGGUGAAAUACCUUCACAAAUUGGUCAUCUAUCUCGGUUACGAUAUCUUGACUUGUCCAACAACUCGCUUCAUGGUGACAUGAACGCUGGGUUGAAGAACUGCACCAGCCUUCAAAGCAUCAAUCUUGGGUCAAACUUGCUCACUGGAGAAAUCCCUUCAUGGCUCGGAGGCUUGUCAAGUCUCCGGACCAUAAUCUUGCAGAAGAGUAACUUCACAGGGAUUAUUCCGCCAUCACUGCCAACCUCUCAGCACUAG